rnacentral:rRNA from 1 species
UGAGGAAUAUUGGUCAAUGGGCGCGAGCCUGAACCAGCCAAGUAGCGUGAAGGAUGAAGGUCCUAUGGAUUGUAAACUUCUUUUAUAGCAGAAUAAAGUGACCCACGUGUGGGUUUUUGUAUGUAUGCUAUGAAUAAGGAUCGGCUAACUCCGUGCCAGCAGCCGCGGUAAUACGGAGGAUCCGAGCGUUAUCCGGAUUUAUUGGGUUUAAAGGGUGCGUAGGCGGAAAGAUAAGUCAGCCUGUGAAAGUUUGCGGCUCAACCGUAAAAUUGCAGUUGAUACUGUUUUUCUUGAGUGUACAUAAGGUAGGCGGAAUUCGUGGUGUUGCUGUGAAAUGCUUAGAUAUCACGAAGAACUCCCAUUGCGAAGGCAGCUUACCGGGGUACAACUGACGCUGAUGCACGAAAGUGUGGGUAUCAAACA